rnacentral:lncRNA from 1 species
AAAAAUCAUGGGGGAGUUCCCCACGGUGGUAAAGAGAGCUUUUAUAAAACCAAAACAAGGGCGAAAACACCUACACACCUAGAGUACAGGGAAAGGAAUACUUACAUCAAAAGGCAAGAGGCAAAGAGAAAACUAUACCGAAGGAGCUAUUGUAAGCGUAGCACUAGAUAUUAUAGUGUCCAGCGAGAGGUGAACUAGCAGCCUAUGAGAUUCCCCAAUGCGGCUUGAUUGAUUGAAGUGAAGCUUCUUCUUUGAAGUUGUGAAGCCACCUACCAAAGGUGGCCAGAGUAAACCGUCAAAAACUAAAUGGUUGCUGACCGUUCACAUUUUGUCCUCUGGCUCCAAGGCUGAGCAAUGGGAAAUUCUCCCUUCUCGAUGUAGUGCAGGUUCGUUAAAUAUAUUAUAUAGAUUUCAUUCAUCUUGUCCUUGCACUCUCCCUCCCGGUUCUUCUCGAAUUCUCUUCUAGUUCAUCUCAAAAUUGUGGAACAUUGCUAUUUUUGUGUACACAUACAAACUACUUAUAUAUCAUACAUCUAUGCAUAUACAUAAUUCUGGGUCUUGCAGUAGGCAUUCAUACAGACUUAUAAUAAGUACUAGCUCAGCUCCAAGUCUAUGUUGACAAGCAGAUUGGAGAUGAUUCUACUGACUAGAUGAAGGACCGAAAACGGCGACCAGAGGGGGGGUGAAUGGGAGCCUCAAAUUUUCUCUCGAAAAUAUUUGGCCGCUGUCCCAAAAUCACUCCCAAGCACAAGCGAGAGUCUCGAAACUAAAUUACCCAAGUCCACCUGUGACAAGAGCACUUAGAUAAAAUAUUUCCAACAAUAGAAACCCAGUGCAAAAAACGGAACUCAAAACGGAGCUCAAACGACCAAACUAGACGCAAAAUAAGAAAUCGAGGCUAGAAAAAUUAACCGGAAAAUCCUCUGGAAAUUUAAUUAACUCAGAACAGAAUGGGUUGCACGUUAGCCUAGUUCUCUCAGGUCUGCUGCUCAUGUGCUGCUUAAACCAAUCACAAAGAAAAUGAACCAAGUUCACAACUGACUAACAGCAACAAAUUUAAAGCUCCAAGCUUUAAGCAAUCAUUGCUUUAGUAUAUUACGAAAGGAACAAAAGGGCUUGUGACCGAUCAAAAUCAGGCAAGCACGGGCUGCAGCUCUUGCCGCUCAAAAACCAUGGUGAGAUGCUGAGCAGCUGCUACUGAAAUCAAUGCAUAGGAACCUGAAAGAGGCAAGCACCUGCUGCAUUACUUGAAGCUCACAAGCUACCUGCAAAACUGCUAAACCGAGAGCCAGACUGCAGAUGUAACAACAUUCUCAAGACUGCAACACACACGCACAGCAAUAGAGAAGCUGCUCUCCAACUUGUUGAACGGAUGCACAAAAAGAAACUAAGAAGGCCACGUACACCCUGAAGCAAGUAAAGCUUGGAGCAGAAACUGACGGUGCUGAAAUGCUUAGAGUUGAAACGUAAAUGCAGAAGCAGCUCAGCAGGAAAUCAGCUAGGACGAAACAAAAAUUUACGAACAAGAACUGGACAGGGACAACGCAAGUUGAGGGGAUGCUCACAGCUGCGUAAGAAAGAGGACUAAUUUGGGCCUGCUCAUGCACAGCGCCAAUUCGAGCACACAACAUAAUGCAGUGAAGAACAGAGAGGAACAAGGGCACAGAAAACUGCGACGGGUAAAACAGAGAGAAACACCGGAGACCUGGUGUUUGCUCUGCGGAUGCUCACGGCUGCUGCGACGUUCGGCUAGGAGUGCUCGACCUCGUGCCAACAAACACCAGUGGUGCUAGAUGCCAUCAUCGGUCCGUCCGCCUGGAGCCUGAGCAAGACGAACAAGAAGAACAGAGACCGAUGCCAGACAGAAAAACAUACGGAUCUCCUCCAAAACAAAACGAAUCGCUGCCAAACUUGGCACAGAUGAAAUUUGCCCUACCACGAAGCUAUUCCCCAAAAAUCAUUACUUGGGAUUGACUCAAACUCUGAAAAAUUCAGAUCAUAGCAAAGAACGAAAAAGGGAAAAAAUGAUGAACUUGGACAGCGAAAAUCAAUGACACAAAAAUAGGAAUCCCAAAGGACAAAAGGAGAAUUUGGGCCUCCAUUCCCACUCCAAAACACAACAAAAAUGCUACGAAUUCUUGUCAGUUCAUGAAUCUCUAGAACUUGGGAAAAAGAGCUAAACCUAGAGAGAAAGGAAAAAACUACCUGUUGGCAGAGAGGUGGCGUGAGAGAAGUGGAGAGGGGCUUAGGAGAGAUGGGGAACUCCCCCGGUUUAUUUAUCAGGCAUAUUACAUAUUUCCCAAAUGUCCCUAGAUAUUUUUGAGCGAACUAGCUAGCCCCAGGGGCAUUCUAGUCCAACUCGACAUGACCUAAAUCCGACGGCCACCGCGCCUCCUCACCGGUAGCGUCGCUCCGAAGCGAUCUCACCGAUGCCGCCACGUGCCAUCCGUCCGCAUCGGGACCUCCGUCCGGGUUUUGAGGCCCAAACCCGCGAAACCCGCCGCGAGUAGCGUAGCCCGUACGCGUCCCCCGCCGUGUACACUUGCGCUUAUCGAUGUCCCAAGUGUCAGCCACCGCAGCUGGCCACCCGGUCGUCUGGUCCGUCAGUCCAAGCCUCACGUCCGCGAUUCACCGCAACCGGUCCGUCAGCACGGCACGCCCUACUUGACCUUCACCCGACCGCUGCCACCGCAUCCAGACUCCACACCUGCACAUCACGAAGCCAAGAGACACCGUUUCGACACAUAACUCUGUGCCAGGAUAUCAGUAGAACCACCGAACCAACAACCCACCAAAAUAUUGGUACGUUGACAAUCGCUCAUCACACAACAAGGGUGCUCCACAAUGGUUAUGUAAAAACCAUGUGUUCGCACUAGAGGUUUGGGCCAUUUUUAUUGUUCUUUUACCGUAUCAGUAAUCUGCAAUGCUUUGUCGUUGCUCGAUCACAUGCAUGGUUUGUUUUUUUGACUGACUGAAUUCUUCAGGUUAUGUAACUAGUGCUCUGGGAUUCUUCAUUUGCACCAGUUUUGUAACAUGCACAUCAGCCCAGGGACUCUUUGCUAUGCAGAACCAUUCAGUCUUCAGCGAGUCGUCUUGCUGCUGUGCCUGACUACAGUAAGCAUCUGCCCAAAAGGAUAAGCGCCCAAUGCGACAAAAAUGGAGAAGGCUGGAGGUCACAGGCGCAAUGGGACCCAACUUGUGAUAAACGGUAGUUAUUAGCUAGAGUGAGGUUUACUGUAUGUCCCUCAACUAUCAUGGUCAUCCGAUUUUGCUCCCUGAACUACAAAAUUAGUUUUGUUGCCCAUAGCCUUUUAAUUUUUUAAACUGUUUGUUUUCGUACCAUGGGUGAUUUUGAUCUGGCUAAUUAAGUUGAAAGUUCAGGAAGGUAAAACAGAAUAAAAAUAUUUCAUAAUAAAAUCCAAAAAUUCAUAAUAAUAAAUUUUGAAAAACUUUCCAAAUAUUUUACAUGAAAAAGUAAUGUAAUAAAAAAAAAUCCUUAAACCUGGUUUAGAAAAGUUAUAGAAAAUUUGUUUUGCCUCCGAAAAUUAUGAGCUGGUUUUGCAUUUUUUUGUAGACUAAAAUCUUGCUCUAUCAUCCAAGCUUCAAUAUUUCAUUACCAAUUUCAAGUAUCAGGUAUCAAAUUAAUUAACCACUUAACCUUCAAAAUAAAUAUGAGCACCAAUAUUGCAUUUUACAAAUUACAUCAUUUCAAAGCUCACCGUGACUAUGCAAUAGAACUAAUAUUUUGGUCAGGCAGCACACGGCAAAGCGUCUUUUCGUGGUUUUUAAAAAUAAUUACUUUGCCGUGAGCCCUGUGACGUGGCACACGACAAAGCUGGACGUUACUGCGAUGGCGGCCGUUACGUUGCUUUUGUGUGCCGAGUGCCAAAAAGACACACGACAUUAGGUUUUGCCGUGUGCGUGGCGGCUGGCGCACGGCAAAGAUGGUCUUCACCGUCAGCUACUGUGCCGUGCACUCUUUGCCGUGUGCUUUGGGCAUUUUGCUGUGUGCCUGAGGCACACGGCAAAGCUCCUGAGUCCGGUAGUGAAUCACAUAGUAACUAGUUAAUUAAAAAGGCCUACAUGUUUCCGUGAUGUUGAAGAACAAGCUGAAGUGCUCUCAAUCUUUCCAUUUCUUUUUAAAUUUUCCAUCCACAUCUUUAUGUGAAGACUCGACUGACAUGAAUCAAUGAAUGAAACAAACUGAAUAUCGAGCAUCAGUGGAAGAUACUGAAUAAUAUCCGUAUCAAUAUCAGUUAUUUUUGUCUUCAUGACAGGUAGGUGCCCCAUCAACAAUAACAAUUAACUCCAUGCCAAUCAUGACCUAUAUGUUGGUCCUAUCCUUUAUAGAUUGUAUAUAAGAGGUCAAACUCAGCCUAUUCUAUCCUCAAUUAUAUAACAAACAUAAGGUUCCUUGCACAUGAGUUAGGUUGCUAGCUACUACAUAUAGUAGCUAGGCCGACAUGUUGGAAAAUGCUCCUCUAGUCAAGACAAAAAAAAGACAUGUAGACAGCAGUACCGACACUGGGGUUGUGAAACAUCAGAGAACGAAAUGUAAGCUAUGAGUUUAUUAGACGACGUGAGGCAUCUAGAAACACAAGCAGUGCAAGACAACACCUGUAUGAAGGGCGCCAAACUAGAUGAAAAGGAAUCCCGUGCAUCUGCUAUGCAAAUCUUUUUUCUAGAACACGACUUCACGUGUAUUUCAUUAAGGAGUCUGCUAUGCAAAUCAGAUGUUGUGAGUGGAUAUAACUGUUGCAUAAUCUAGUCUUGGUUUACCGUUUUAGACGCCUAUUCUUAGCUUUCCUAUUCAUAGCUAAUUGACUUAGUGUGUGAACUCGUUCUCUCUUCCAUGGACGAGCGUGUCUCUGUAAACAGCCUGAUGCAUGGCGAUGGCAUAUGCUGUGGCUUAACUUGCUUUUAGUUUGUAGUAGUGACCACACAACUUGCUCUCGUUCAUGGGAUGGCAUGAACAAGUCUGAGGACAUGUGUGUGUGGUGUGGCUUCGGCCUUGUAUGACUAUAAAUGAUAAUGCAAUGAGUCCAGAAAAGCUACGGCGGUUGUAGCACCAAAUACUCUUGUGUCCACCUUGUGUUCACGUUGAGGAUUUGUGUAUAUUCUGGGUUAUCAUAUCUAGCUCCGGUAAGGUUCGCCGGUGAGUAAGGAGACGGCAAGUGGUAUCAGAGCUAAGGUUGUCCGUCGAGUCCAACAUCAUGCCAUCGAGGAUGCCGCGUGGACGAUCGGCUUCUCCACUACAUUGCGGUGCGACACUGGAGCACAAGAGUGGCUCCGGCAAUGGUGGUCUCGGCCUAGUGAUCCACCAGGUGGUGCAGGAGAAUGGCGGUAGCAGGAAGUACCUAGUGCUGACUAAGACCAACUACUAUAGUUGGGCGGGGAUGAUGCAGUUGAAGCUGCAGGUGAGAGGCCUGUGGGAGGUGGUGACCAUGGGCACCUACAACUACACCGACGACCGCAAUGCUUUGGAGGUGAUUGCAUUGGGCGUGCCUCCGAAGAUGUAGGGCACCAUCUCGAACAAGGCUCAGGAGCCGCUCAAGAAGACGCAUCUCGGUGUGGACCGGGUGUGCCAGGCGAAGGCCAACAUGUUGCGGUGCAAGUUCGACUUGCUCAGGUUCAAGGACUGAGAGUCCAUGGACGACUUUGGCAUCCGUAUCACCGACCUCGCCAGUUGGAGGUCCUCAACAACAGCUACACCGAGACAGAGAUUGUGCGGAAGUUCCUGCAGGCCACUCUAGCAAGGUAUUUGCAGAUCGUGAUGGCGAUCGAAACCCUUCUCGAUCUCGAUACUCUGUCUGUGGAGGAGUUGAUAGGGCGACUCAAGGCGGUGGAGGAGCGCUAUGAUCUUAGCAGCGGUGGAGGUGGUUCUUAGGCGACCCUCAACCUCACGGAGGAUGAGUUGGUGGCGCGUGUGAUGUAUAGCUCUCUGGCGAGGGAUCCUCAGGUGGAGGCAGAUCUUCGAACCUGCGCCGUGGCCGCGGUGGUGGUCGUGGCGGUGGCCGUGGGCGUGAUGGUGGGAGCAGCAGUGGCUCCAAGUCUCCCACCAGCGGCAACGGGAAGAAGAAGACCAUCGCCAAUGAUGAGUGCGCGUACUACGGCCAUACGGGCCACUAGGACCACGAAUGGUAACGAGGUUGUAUAGCCUAGUGUUCAAUAGCGCUGUGAUCUGUUGCGCGGUCACCAAACCAAACAGAAAAUAACAGGACCCGAUGGCGCCAUGAACCGAUGUCAGGUCAAAAAAAAACCAAACCAAACACAUUCAGGCCUUGUUUGGAUGUUGUUGGAUUCACCUCAAUCCACAUGUGUUGGAGUGGAUUGGGGUGGAAUUUAGUUCAAGUUCCACUCCAAUCCACCCCAACACAUGUGGAUUGAUGUGAAUCCGACUACAUCCAAACAAGGCCUCAGUAACUUGUCCACCAGUUCCCUCAUUGUCUACAAAUAAAGUUGUAUAUGUACAAUUGCUUUCAACUAAAUGAAAAUGCAGAGCAUCUCUGCUAAAAAAUGGUCCAUCACGAACAUCUACGACCUAAGAAGGUUAUAUGCUUCGGUUAAUAUAACUUGUCCUUCAAUCCCUUCUUGUCGAUAACAGGAGACUACCAUUUCUAAUGGCUUGGCGUGUUUAUGUUUCAUUGCAUGGAUGGGGACGUGAUCUUACAAAUGGGUAGCGCUUCUGUCCUUAUGAAGCUGAAUGCAUGCCAGGGACACGGAUAGAUCACUAGUAGAACUCAUAUGAGAUGCCCGGAUGGAGGAACAAAGUCUGCAGAAUCUAUUACUUUUCCUAAUAUAGGGAAAGAGCAGAAUUCUUCUACCCAUGAACUUGCACAUCUAGCUAUAUUUGGUUGUCGUCCUCACUCUUCUGACCACCAGAUCACCUGUGAGAGCUCUGAGUUUCCAGUUUGUGCCUUUGUGGCAUUGUGGAGUACUCCCUCCAUAUAGAAUUUAGAAGUUGUUUAGGAUAGCAACACGGUCUCCAAAAUACAACUUUGACCUCUUACUUUUAUAUAAAAGUAUUUAGGAAAAAAAUUAUAUAUAUAUGUGCUUUUAUGAAAGUAUUUUUUAAGACAAAUCUAUUCAUAUAAUUUUCACAUUUGUAAACUCAACAAUUUAAAAGUUAUUGAUGAUUUAUAUUCCUAAUAUUUAACCCAAAUGUUAUCCAAAACGACUUCUAAAUCCUAUACGGAAUACUUGUUAUCUGCUUCCCAAGGUUUUAGCAUGUCAGAUGAUGAACUCUAAGCGAGUAGUGACAGUGUUUGCAGCACAAUUAUGUAUAGGUGUUGGCGCCUGGCGUGGCUAGAAGACCCCCCCCUCCACCGCCACACCCACCCACCCACCCACACCCUUGCUGAGCACUGUAGCAGCUCCACUCCCCAUUUCUGAAUUUUGAAAUUACUUUCAAAUUUACACAACUUUAAAAUCUGUAAAAACAAAAGUUGCUCAAAAAGAAAGGAUCUACAACUUUGUUUUUGAGACCUUCUUCAAAUUCUGCCUGGAUUUUGAAAUUUGAAUUGAGGAAUGAAAAUGGAUUUAUUAUCUACCAAAAAAUGGUUAUACUUGAUUCUCUGCAGAAGAAAUGGGAAACACAUCAGCAUUGCAGAAGUGGAGAGCCAGAGGGAAGCAUUGUUGGAGAAGAUGGAAUGCUUACUGAUUUCUUAGCUUUUGACUUGCAAUGUCAAAUCAUGUAAUUUUUGAAGAAAAUUUUGAUAACAAUCUAGAGUUGACUGAUCUCGCAAACAGUAUAGUAACUAUAUUUGCAAUGUACCUUUUUUAUCUACAAUAUAAAUAUAUAUAUGAAUGAUUUGAAACAUGCAAUAGUUGGAUGGCUGUCCAGUCAAAUCAUGUGAACAAACGCAUGUUUAACAGUUCUUAUACAUGACAUGCGGAUUUAAGCUUUUUUCACAUAGUGUGAAAACCAGAGUCAAAGAAAAGAAAAGAAGACAUCAAGAGAGGUAUCUUUGAGGGCUUCAAGAGCACCACAUGCAUCGCAUGUAACAUUUGACUUAAGUUGCAUUGAUUCACAUGAGCACGCCCAUUCGCCCAACCCUGUUUUUUUGCCAUCAUGCCUAAGCACGUUUUUCAUUAAGCAGAAAAGAGUCAUUCUUCUUUUGUUUUCAUCCUAUCCUUUUGUCUGGAUUAUAUAUAUGCAUUUAGAUAGAAUUGAACUUGUGUAUGUUUUUGUAAGUGGUUAUGGGCCUCAAUUAAUUUUUAGGUGAUGUAAUUCGCUUCUGUCUUAGACAUCAUGAUCCCUUUAGUAAUGAUAUGCUAAUCAAUUGGCAAUACACACUAAUCUUAUCAUGGUAAUUAUGAUAAAUAAAUUUAUUAUCAUCAACUUUCCGCUAGACACAAGCUCGUCCAGUAUCUAGCAGAACAUUUGUUCUCUUCACAUGGGUCAUCUUGUCCAUCCUGUCUCUAAACCAAACAACAAUCAAUAAAAACUGAUCACCGUCGCUAAUCCAAUUUUAUGUAACCAACCUUAGUAUUUCAUUAUCAGUCAUCAACCAAACAAUUAUAAAAAUAUUCUUAUAACUGUCAUCAUAUGCAAGCUAUAGCAUAAUAAUAACUUCUUUCACCGUACCAUCCUUAAAUGUCACACAGUGCCCACCAAAGGAGGCAUAUAAAAUGUUAGCAUAUGUACAAAGGCAACACGUAACAUAGCUAAGCCUCAUGGGUUAUCACACAGAUCAAUGUAUAUAGUGCUAGUGCAUAGGCAUGGUUAAUCAGAUCAAUAAUUCUUUCUUUUUGAGUUAAUAUAUAUCCAAUGCAGAGGAAUCAAAUGAGAUGCGCUACAAUAUUUGGGACGGAGAGGCAUCGGGGAAAGUUUUAUUCAGGGCUUCAUCAGAAGCACUACAAGCUUCACUCAUAACUGCAGCAGGGCCAGACAAUUCUGCAGUGGCAAUGCAAGUUGCAAGGUGUCUCUUUUCGGAGCUCCGCACAGACGUCUCUGCUUGGAAUAUGCAGUGUUGCCACCACUGAUGGCCAUAUGCCGCAGACAAGCUGUGGACAAGCUAGAGGUGCAUCGAAGUUCCUGUUAGAAUGUUGCACUGGAGUUUGUUUCGCAACUCACUUGUAGGGAUGCAACAUCAAAAUAUUUUGGGUCUUCGGGCAAAUGAACUAGAAUGACAUUCAUAUAAUUUGAUGGAAGAGGAAAAAUGAACUAGAAGGGCAUUUGACCAUAAUUAAUUAGCUGACCCAAAAAGAACACCAUUAGGUACCACUUGCAGAGUUGAUAGUGACCAACUCUUGAGGGCUAGGUCAUGUCUCAUUGUGUCUCGUUUUCUUUUUGGACCUCACUGCUUUUUAGUAUAAAUAUCUUAUGUUAUUUUUUAAUUUAUAAAAAGGCAUUGAAUUUUCGUUGACAUGAUGACGUUGUGUUUAUCUGUCUUACUUCUUAGCUUUACAAGUACAAAAUAGCUUCCUUGUGAUGUCUCGUUAUAUAUAAAUGGUUGGGUCAGCAAUGAAAAUAUCCUUAAAUUGCAGCAAUCUUUACUUUGAUUAGUUUAUUUUUAUUUUAGAAUUGGGCCUUGCUAUGAUACAUCUAUUACCUCCAAGGAGGUAAGAGGUCAAAUAAAUCUGAGUCCUUCAUUUUAAGAAAAAGUAAAAAUGAUUAACUGAAGAUAAAAAAUAAAUAACAAGCAAAAUUAUUAAUUAUAGAUGGAAAAUUAUUAUGGCAACUUUACUGUCCAUGCACCUAAUUACGGGAAUCUCUACUAUGACUAGUCCACCCAAAAAACUACCCCCACUGAGGGCCUAAAUUUGUGUACCCAGAUAAACGCACACAUGAUUCUGCCUGUAUCAAAAUUAAGGGCUAAUAAAACACCAGAACCCAUCCAACGACCAAUGUUUGAUGUUUGAUGCCAGACUUCUCACCCCUUCUCACCCUCACGGCCUCGCCUUCAAACGCGCACAACACAGCGACGCUCAAACCUCCACGACCAGCGAUCGAUUCCUGGAGUCAUCACCAAAUAAAAAGAACAAAAGGAAAUGCAAGAGCUCAUCUCGCCGGCGGGCGCCUCCGAAUCCGCAAGCCUAGGCUCUAGAAUCGCCAGGACGCGCCAUCCUUCCGACUUGCACCUAGGGCUAGGGACUAGACGUGGCGUGACUUUCUCCACCUACGACGCGAUGGACAGGGGCGCUGGAAGCAACCACGACCAGCCGAGGAACCCCGCUGGCCGCCCAUGACUACUGCAGGCUGCCUAUGCCGCGACGGACAGGGGCGGGGGCAGCAACCACGACCAUUGUUUAAGUUGAACUGGAGUAGAAAGUGAGCCUUCACUAACUCCCUAGAGACGAUCUGAAGUUCAAGGUAAGAAAAUCGAAACACCAUUGGCGCACGCAGCGAUCAGUCGGCGGGGCUCCCGAGGGACCCGAGAAAGAUGGCGGACGCGGCGAUCGGAACGCCGUACCAGUGACGCGAAGGUCGCAGAGAGCAGCCGAGCAGGAUGUGGCAAGCUGUACCACGGCACUUCAAUACAUAUCGCCAUCACGCCAAGCAAGGUGAGCUUUCAAAGCAAUUGCUGAAUUCUUCAUCAUAUGGAGUUGUUGCGGCUUUCUCUGUUUUAAAAACGAUCAGCUACUUGCUAAUGUUAUUUGCAGUACUAAUCAGCAGUCAAUGGUCCGUGGUUGCUGCCGGGGUCCCUUGCGGUGCUAAUCAGCCACCCGGACGAGCCAGAGGACAGCGUCUCGCAAGGCUGCGGGGGCAUCAAAGGAGGAAGGUGCAGCAAGACGAACCGAAAGGUGAGAGGAUUUCAUUUCAUCGACUUGCUUCUACUCUCCGAUUGUUUGUGGACUGCAUUUCCUGAUUAAUUAUGCUGUGAGAGGUCUGCAUUUCCUGAUUAUUUGUGGUAUUUCAAACUUUUUUAUGCUGAUUUCGUUAUCAUAUAGCUGUUGUCGCAGAUCUGAAAUGUGACCAAAGGAGAAGGUGCAGCAAGAGAAACCAAAAGGUUAGAGGAUUUCACUUCCCUGAUUGCUCCAGUGAAGAAGGAAGUUGCCAAGUUUUCGAAGGAGACAACCAAGAGGAUGAACCAGAGGAGGAUGAGGAAGGUGAAAUUUCCUGAAAUUUAUUUUUGCACUCUAUCUAUUAUUUUUGCACUCUAAUUCAAAAUUUACUGUUAGGUAUUGUUCCUAAGCAGUCAUUGAUCUUAUUUCUUCAAUGCACAGUUCAUUCUUCUGAUGCAACCAUAGGGUCUGCUGCUAUUUUGGUUAAGAGCUGCAAUGAUCCUAACAUGGACCAAGUGGUGGUGCUUGUUAUGGAGGAACAGUCCACAAAGAUACAACUUUUGCAUAAUAGAAGGCCUGAAAAGAAUUGAGGGCCUUGUCUUUGCAUAACAGAAAGCCUAGAAAGAGUUGAGGACCUUGUGGUGUGGAGGAGGGUGUAUAGAUUUGAUGCCUAACCAUCCCUCCACAGCAAGGCCUCCGUUGCGGCGUUCUUUUUUUUGUUUGCCCUAUAUUGAACUUUGGAAAAUUAUAUAUUUUCUUGUCCUACUCUAUGUGAAACAAAUGUGUGCAAUAACCUGUAGUAUUGCCGUGGUUGUUGUUGAAUUAGAGUUUUGCGAAGUAAUGUUUGUUUCUAUUUUCAAAUCAAUACCAUUACAUUGUUCCUAGGUACAAACUGGUGCUAGCUACCUAUUUUUUUAACCACCUGCUGAUAAUUUUUUUCUUUUGUAUAUUUUCUUUUCUGCAACUAUGGAAUGCAAAAAUAAUGCAAACAACUUCUAGCUUAUCUGGCUUCUAUUGAGUGUAAUAGACGCUAUAGUCUGGAGAUAAAGAUGGGCUACCAAAAUUAACUAGGUGGCGUGAUCUGUGUAACAUUGCAGGGAUGUUGAGGAAGCAGAAGCUGCAGUGUGCUUGAAGGGGAUUCGAUAGAAGUAGAAACAUAAGCUGCAACAUGUUUAAGUAUAACAGUGCGUGAGUUUUCUUGUAGAAGCACAAACCGAAGCUGCAACAUGCUCGAGUCUAACGAAACAUAAGCUGCAACAUAUUUGAGUAUAACAGUGCGUGAGUUUUCUUUAUUUAUUUUUCUUUUGUUGACACGUGCAAGUGCAACCUGAUCGCUCCUUGGUCCCAUGAGCUUAGCAUGAAGGCCGGUACCUGUAAAACUCAAGAAUUGAGAAGUUUCAGGUAGAGCGAAAUAAAGUGGUGCAUGAACUUGCACGUUUUGCCAAUAUGGCAUAUGUCAAAGACUGAGUAUUGUUUCCGGUUUUGUGUCAGGAAACUUGUUUUGUAAUGAUAUUGUUGAAUCCGUGAUAAUAAAGCUCCCUUUGGCAAAGAGGUGGGUGUUUCUGUUGUUAUAUUGGAUCCAUGUCUUUUCAAACUAAGUAUUAUAAAGGUAAAUCACUUUUUUAUUGUUUUAUUUUGAUCAUUAGAUAUUAUCGUAGCGUUAGCACGGGUAUUAUACUAGUGAAGUAUAAUUUGACAUGCACGGCAAAUCACCUUCACAUAAUUUAAGUAUUGGAAAAUCAUAUUACCAUGAUUGGCCAUACAUGUACAGAAAAUUUGACAUGCACCGAUUUCAUCAUGAGUCAAGAUCUUUCUACGCCCGACACAGAAAAGUAUCAGGGGGUAGAGAAGUAUGUGUGACUGUGAGUACUGUUCGCUGGUCUGAAAAGCUAUAGUUGGAAAUAUUGUUCGCUGAUUUGUUAUGAAAGAAAAACACUGUUGGCUGGCGAAAAAGUACGGCUAUAGACAAACGAACGGGUACGUCAUGAGAUUUCGCCGCCCACUGCUUCUCUAGGUCGCCGCCAAUGGCUGUUAAUGCCAAUGAUCAUCAUUGGGAUUCUCUCCAUGCCCUUGGUCUCGCUGCUCAAAACGGAACAGUGGGUUUAAUUAGCGUUUGUAAAGAGAAGCCUGAGAAGAGUAUGUUUUGACAUCUACUUGCUUCUUUUUUUUUUCUGGUCUCCGGACUGCGGAUCUCCACUUCCAAUCUUUGCUGCCCGACCUUGAAUUGCAGCCAUGAAUCCUACGUAUCAGAUCCCGGCUACCUUUGAAGUUCGAGCGCUGUCAUGCAUCCCUACCCUCUCCUGAUGCUUAUCUUGCAGGCGGAGCUCAAGCGCACGGAGAACUGGACCUCUCCUGUGUCGGCGUGGUCACACAUAUGACAUAUGUACCCGAUUGGAAUGAGCUUGCGCAUGUCAAAGCGCAUGUCAACUCAAUUUUGUCUAUAUAUUUACACGUCUUCUAGCUAUAUUUACACUGUCUUAUCACUAUAUUUAUAAUAAUUUCUUCUGUAUAAUUUAUUAGAUAGAGUGAUGUAAGUUGAGGAAAUGACGUGUACAUACCAAAUUUUUCAAACAAAAUUACAAAUUAUUUCUAUGGAAUACAGACAUCAAAGAAAUAUAUGUCAAAUUGUUCACAAUUUUUUUAGAUUAAAAAAACAAAAUAUUCACAACUUUUAAAAAUGUCAUGCCACGCUGCCGCCGCCGACACCGGGGAAGCGUAGCGUCCGGCCUCAGCUAGUACUGCAAGACAUGGUAGUGCCACAUCUGCUACUUUGGCAUGAUUUGCUGCAGCUGCUUCAUCAUCAUUGCUGACGAGGUCGCGGCAGGGAGGCCGGCGCACGGGCCAUACCGUGAGCUGCACGCGUAGUGUGGUAUCUGCAAGUCCACCCUCUCACAAAAUGCGAUCGAUCAGAUGCAACGCUCGAAGGGCGGGGGCGGCGUGAUGCUAGAGAUCAGGUGGCAACUCUUGGGCCGGAGUCAGAUCCAACGCUUGAAAAUUCGGUUGACAGAAGCAAAUAAAUCAUGCGGUUGACGUAUAGCAUUUCUCAUUUUAAAAAUAUGUUUAUCCUAUUACCUCUUAGGAGGUAAUAUAUGACAAUAGUUAUCUAGAUCGACGGUUCACAGUUAAUUGGAGGUACUAUAGCAAUCCUGAGAGCACUCUGCGAUAGAGAAGUAUGGCAUAUGGGUUGGGCUGGGCAGUAAAAAAAUACCUUCAAAGUGAAAUGGUCCAUGUGUGAUUGUGUUGGCCUUGUUUAGUUGCAAAAACUUUUCAAAAAUGGACACUAUAGCACUUUCGUUUGUAUUUGAAAAAUAUUAUCCAAUCUACGACUAACUAGGCUCAAAAGAUUCGUCUCGCAAACUAUAGGCGAACUAUGCAAUUAAUUAUUUUUUUAUCUAUAUUUAGUGCUCUAAGCAUGUCCUGCAAGAUUCGAUGUGAUGAGGAAUGUUGAAAAAAAAAUUGUAAAUUUUUUUGAACUAAACAAAGCCAAGAAUACAGUAUAGAGUUUAGACCAAGAAACUUGUUGGCUAAGAGGCAUAUGGCUUGGCUCCUUCGAUCGAGCGCCACUAUGGGUGUCAUUAACUGUCCUAGUUCUAUAUAUGGUGGAAUAAGCUACUUCAACUAAAUACAGCCAAUGCGCACAUGAUGAUUGAAUAUUCGUGAAAUUAUUAGAGCAGGCGCGAAGCCGCAACUUCCUAUAUAUGGAAGGGAAGCGACGGCCAAGGGUUAACCAUCUGGCAAAGCUUUGGGGUCUGGAGUACUUCUCCAUGAGAAUUGGACAUGGGCCCUAAGCUUAUGAUGGCUAUUUUUUUUUUUUUUUGAAAGAACUGGCAGAAGCUCUGCCUUUCAUUUUAGGUAGGAAUAAGAAUUUAUAUACAAGCAAACCUCUUAUGGAGGAAGUUAAGGAGUACAGACUACAGAGCAAUAGAGGGGGAUGGAAAGAGCACAAGUUUUCGUGAGAAAGAAAACUGCUUAUAUGAGCAGAUAUUGUGAUGAAUAGACAAUAUCCUGCUUUUCAGCUGCAACCAAAAUAACUCUCUUGAAAGUAGAUAAACUUCCUUCUGGCACAACGCUUGGAUAAAUGGUCCGGUGCCAAAAGAUAUUGCACCCGUACCAUAAGUAUUUCGGCUAUCCAAAUAAAAAACGAAGCAGUAAGCUACGACAAAGCAGUGAGCUACAUUGGAUAAGUGAUUUUUGACUUGUUUUCACUUAUCGUGAACAGCCCUCAUAUACCACAGUCAGUUGGUGCUACUGUGGCUAAUAAUAACUGGCUACUGAUUCCUAGUCGAGGCCGACCAGCAGGAUGCCAUUGUCUGAAGCUUACUGAGCACGUAUAGUACACAGCCAAAUCAGCUUACGUGUGCAUUCUGUUGGCUCGAUGAAAAGAAAUUUCCACAUAUAUAUUGUCAUAAUUUGGAAGGUUUAUUCGCAUAGGUGCUCCAAAAUGUAAAUUCUUUGUAUGGCUGACUAUAUAUACAAAACAGGUUAUGGGCCUCAAAUUGCUUAUCACGGAAACCAUGGCCUGUACCUUCUUGCUGAAUUCCACUACUUUGUAUGGGCUGUGUGAUGGCCUUGACACAACACAGCCUUGGGGUCGUGGUCUCAAACUUGGGAGAAAUGGAGCGAGCACCAAAGAAGUAAUUUCAGGAUUGCGUGAUUUUUGUAUUAGCCCAUGAUGAAUGGAUGCUCAAACCUUGUCUGUUUGGGUUCUUCUUCUUAAUUAGUAUAAGAGGAAGAUCUCCUAACUUGCUAAUUUAAGAAAGAAAAAAAAAAGGCAUACAGUAGGGCGUGGAAUGAUUAUCCGGUGUGUUUGCAAGCAUGCAUGUUUCUCUGCCUGAGAUGCAUACACCAGGCCGUUAAGGACUGCAGUGUUGCUGGCCUGCUGCCAUCUAUCGACUUGAGUUGCAUUGAAUCCCUGGUAGGGGCGAGAUCAAGAGGUGCAUGUGAAUUUCAUUCAAAUGAGACCUUGUUGAGUGAAGGAUCAGCUGCCCUGAAUGAAUGAAACAAACUGAACUGAGCAUCAGUGAAAGAUAAAACUGGAUAACGCUCCUAUCUGUAGCAAUUGCUUUUGACUUUAUGGCAGGUAGGUACGCCAUCAACAAUGGCAAUUAACUCAAUACAAAAUACUCGUAUGUGUCUUGGUCCUAUCCUCUUGGAUCAUAUAAGGGCCGAACUGAAUUAUAUUAGAGCCAUAAGGUCCCUUGCCCAUAAGCUAUUAGAGUGCUAGACACUAUAUAUACAGCUAGGUCCAUUGAUGUUGCCGAAUGCUCUAUGAAGACCCCACAAAAACUUGUAGACAACAGUAUUAGGGUUGAGAAACAUCAGAGAAUGGGACGUAAUCUUGGAGUUCAGAAACGUGCGACCGAUCGUGGCAUAACACGGUCCAUUAUCAUACUGAACUCCAAAGUUAGGUUGUAGCAUGAUACUGCGAUGAGACGGAAUCAGCAUAUAUAGAUGAUUAGUCAUGAACCAGGACAUAAAUUUGUUGUGUUUAUCUUGCCUGAGCUGGCAUUUGAUCAAAUAUAUUGCCUUGUCACUGACCAUUCGGUUGAAUUGUAUUGAAUAAGAGGGGGUGGAUCAUGAGGUGCAAUGGCACUUGAUCAGGUCUAGUAAAGCAUUGCUCUAUCACUGACCAAUUGGAUUUUAUUGUGUACUGAAUCCUGGCAGGGUAGAACAGGAGGCACACACAUCGACUUUACACGAGCUAGCUCUAAUAAAGAAGCUUUAACUACCUGAUGGAAUAAGUGAAACUGAACAUUAGUAAGAAAUGAAACUGAAUGAUUAUAUAUACCCACGUUAAUGUACAAUGGCAUGAACUCAUGUUCUGUUCAGCAGUCCACGUAUAUAUGUCAAAGAUCAAUCCAUAUAUAUAAGGGCCUGGACGUUUUUUUUUAUAGAAAACACAGGAGAGGCCGUGAGGCCUCUAUUGAGAAUUUAUUGAAAUGUAACCAAGCUGAUUACAAAGGAAAGGAAACAAAACAAAGGAAAAAGAAGAGAAGGGAAAAUAAAGGAAAAGGAACAUAUCCCAAGCAAAAAGCAGGGAGCUUAAGAAAAAAAAAAAGGUGACAAAGAAAACCAUAACAAUUACACAAUAUUUUCUAGCCAUGAUUCAAUUUCUGGGAAGUAUUUCCUGGACGUUGAGGGUGCUACAUAGUUAAGGUCGGUUAAUAUUUUUGCCAAAAACAUAUGUCAAAUAUCCAUCCAUAAUUCUGUAUGUAUAGUCCUUUGACAAUCUAUAUGCAUAUUACGUGUGCAAAUUCACGAUGGCACAAGUCAAUCAAACACCCACAGAGACGCUCAAAGUACGUUACAUGUCUCUUUUCAUUAUCUCCUGAAUUAUAUUGAAUAACUUAGAUAACUAAUACCUUUUUUACUUAUUUCAAAUUAAAGACGGAAUGGUUGAGAGAAAAGGUCAUACAAAAAGACCGAAUCAAAGCUAUCCAAGAGACGAUAGCAGGAUUUCUCCGCGAGCAAGUGAUCAAUCCAAACAGCGAGUUUCACUUCAACGGCAACGAAACUCUUAUUCCAAACAACGAUGAUCAUUUGUAUCGUUUUUAGACAUUGGGAGAACAAACUCUGUAUAUAUGUGUUACGAAUUUUGUACUUAUAAAACUAUAUAUAUAUAAAGCUUUUUAUAUAUCUAUUUAAUUUUUGAUGUGGCCUAUUCAUUUUAUUAUAGGCAAAGCUUAAUUAUAAAGCUAAGCCUAUAAUUUUCAUUUAUAUAUGCUUAAUAUGCGUGUAAUAUAAAUAUAUUAUUGUAUCAGCAAAAAAUAUGUAUUGAAAACCUAUUAUUAUUAUAUAAAAACAAUAAACAGAACCGAAGAAGUGAAACAAAAAAAUCCUUUAACACCGGUUGGUAAUACAAACCGGUGUUAAAAGGUCCUGCAACGUGGCAGCCCUGGCAGGAGAUUACCAACCGGUGUUAAAGGAGGGGCUUUAGCCCCGGUUCCCCGGACCGGGACUAAAGGGUGGGCCUUUAGUCCCGGAUGGGCAGCACCGGCUCGGGAACCGGGGCAACAGGCCCUUCCCGACCGGUGCUAAUACCCGAACGUGCGUAAGGGUUGGUCAACAUGUCUUGCCAAAAAAGUCAUGCCAGGUAUAUCUCCUUGAUCUGUGAUCCAUAUAUAUAGUCCCUUGUUGUCCGGUAUAUAUUGCUCAAAUAGAGUUGUGGUCUGAGUAUAUAUUGCUGAAAAGAAUAAGUCAUGGGCACAAAUAUGCAGACAAGUCUAGCUUGGGUUGGGAAACAUCAGGGAAUGGGAUCUAAACUGCUUCCUCAUCUCUCGUGAGUGGGUUGGGCUACAGCACCAGCCAAUUUGGCUAGGCUGCGCCAUAAGCCCACCAAACACAACAAUUGACCCAAGAGUAACCUGCAGUUUAUUACCUGCUUGACCCAGCAGUGGUACCAGAUCCCAAGAAUGAGCAUUUUACUCUUUGUCUACACAAACAACGGACAGGCGCUCAAGUUGAAGCCGCUGCUUCUGCUGUUGCUAAUGUUGUGGGCUUCCUUCCAGCCUCUGCUGUGCAGCACUGCUCAUUCUCCAGCUGCCUCUGCCAUAGCUCCGCUCUGGCGUAGCCACCUCUCUGGUGAUUUCUUCAGGCAAUUAAUGCUAGUCUUUUUUCUCCUUGUAUUGUGGCAAUAAUUGCUCGAUCUAGGGCUCAAUCAUAAAACAGAAAAUGAUUCACCUCACUUCUCCCUUUGGUUAAAUAAUUGUGUUUUCUUUGGAUAGAUCGUAGGUGGUGCUCUGUUUAGUUAGGAAUAUGCCAUCCGCGAUUCAGUCUUUGUGAGACAGUGUCUGUGUUGUGAAGCGCUGGGAGAGAGAACAACUGACACUGAAGUCAGAGUUACAAUGGUGUUCGAUCCUUUAAUUUAUUGCUAAGUUCUCUUAACAAGUUUCAUGAACCUAAGCAUUUUAGUCCAGCUCAGUAGCAUAGGGGGCCAUCUUGCAAGAUGUGUUAAACUAUUUUAUAUUCCUCUACAUCUUGCAAGAAGUGUUAGAUAAUUUUAUUUAUGUCAAAAGGAUCGAAGGAACCAUUUGUACUGUGGCCAUCUAUGCGCUUAAGAGAAGAUUGGACCAUUAACUAGAGUGCUAGUAUUAGUGCUUAGGAUUGUUAAAGGUGAGAUUACAUUAUGUCCCUAGUUUUGUUUGAGGGACAAGAGGCCAUCACGGUUUGAUCAAAACUAUCCAUAGUGAAGAUGACUAUGAAUGAUACAAAGAAGGCCACACAGAGAUCCACUUGUGCCUAGGGAAGGCUUAUGGACUAUUCGUGAAUUUACCUGACCAUGAGUUUGGCCCUUGCGAGGGGCUUCAAUGAGGACCUAUGGGUAGCAUGAGCUUUCCAAUGCCUUGGUAAAAAUAUCAUCAUGUGAUAGUUGCAUGCUCCAAGCCUUUAUACUUUUAUGUUCUUACAUUCCUUAGUUGUGUGCUUUAACUUUCUACUAACUUGCUAAGUUAGUUGAUAGGGUUCAAAUCUACGGUGCAAAAUUCGUUACCAUUAGAGAUAACAGCACAUAGAAAAACCUAGUGCACAUCUAGGUAGAACUUGUGUAGCUUUUUAUAAUUGAUUUUGUACUUUAGUUUUAAGAUACCUUAUUCAGUAACAAUGUAUUAAUCAAUAGCCAAUAAACACUAAUCUUAACAUGGUAACUAUUAUUUAAUAAUAAAUAUAUUUGAUGUCAUUAAUCUUACUCCAACCAACAAUUAUAAAAAAUGGACUAAUAAUUAUCAGUAAUUGUUAACCAAUGAUUAAGGUUAGUGAAGGCGGAUGGCCUUGUCGGGCCAUUUUUUGCUGUACAGGCUCGUCCAGUAUCCUGACAAAAAACAACUCUAAAAACAACUCUAAGAAUGACUGCCGUCUCUCAUAUAGUUUCAUGUAACCAACCUUGGUAUUUUCGUCACCAGUCAUUAACCAAACAAUUAAUUGUCACACGGUGCCAACCAAUGGAGGAAUAUAAAAUGGCAGCAUAUGUACCAAUGCAGCACGUAACAUAGGCACAUAGGUAAGACUCAAUUCAUAGGUUGCCACAUAGAUCAAUAUAUAUAGUGCAUAAAAAUGGUUGAUCCGAUCUAGAAUAUAUUCUUGCCAUUUCAGUUUGUAUACCCAAUGCAGCAGAGUGAGAUACGUGACAAGUCUACAAAUGUUUAGGACAGAGAGGCAUUGGGCAAAGUUUUAUUCUGGGUUUCAGGAGCACCACAAGCAGCAUUGGGUGUGUUUGGUUCGUAGGUCUAUCGUAGCCUGGCCAGGAACCCUAGCCUGGGCACUAUGGGCCUGUUUCUAGGAGCCAAGAGGUGUUUGUUUGGUUGCUUGCAUUGCGGAGCCUGGCCAGAACGAGUUUAUGUUUGGUUUGUUGUGCAAAGGGCAUAGAAUCACCUCUUUCUUUGACCGGUAAGUCUACCUCCUUUUAGUUAUUUCAUCAAACACCUCAUCCGUCCGCCAUGGCCGACACUGGAGCUCGUCCGUCCGCGAACCUGUCCGCGAACCCGGCGCCGUGCCGACACUGGAACCUGUCCGCGAACCCGGCGCCGUGCGCCGCGGGGGCGUGGCGCGGGGUCACCUGCGCCGGCGGCCGCGUCACGAGGCUGGUGCUCGAGGGCCUCGGUCUCUCCGGCGCCACUGCGCUGCCGAGGGAGCCGGCAUGGGUUCCUCCGCGUGGUCCUCCUCCGCGUCCUCCUCCUCCGCGUGCUCGGCCGCCUCCGCGUGGUCCUCCUCCGCGUCCUCGGCCGCCUCCGCGUGGUUCCUCCUCCGCGUCCUCCUCCUCCGCGUGCUCGGCCGCCUCCGCGUGGUUCCUCCUCCGCGUCCUCGGCCGCCUCCGCGUGGUCCUCCUCCGCGUCGUCCUCCUCCGCGUGCUCGGCCGCCUCCGCGUGGUUCCUCCGCCCCUCUUCACGGUGAGCUCGGCGAGCAUGGCGGCCUCCUCUCGGCAGAAGCGGGCGGUGUCGCGAGCAGAUGCGAGCAGAUGCAGAUGCGGGCGGAGCAUGAUGGAGGAGGAGCGCCGGCGAGCACUGAGGGGGUCGGACGGAGGGGCACCGUCGAGCACCGAGGGAGGUUGGGCGGAGGAGCAAAGCUCGAGCGGUGGUGAGACUUCUGCCGGGCUUAGCCAAGCCAGGCCCUAGAAAAACGGACCUCCCAUCGGUUUUUGGGAGCCAGGCUAAGGCCUGUACGGAGGCCAACUUAAGCCUGGCCAAACAGAGAACCAAACACUCACAUAGUCACAUCUUAACUCCAGGAGGCCUGGCCAGGGUUGGCCACCCAACCAAACAGGCCCACUGUGACCUACGGCGCUCGGCAAUUAUGCAGUGGCAAUGCAAGUGGCAAGGUGGCUGUUCCGGAGCUGCACCCGGACGCGUGCCUCAUAGAACACAGUGUUGCUGCCAAUGAUGGACAAGCUAGAGCCAUUGACGUUCCUGUCAGAAUGUUACACCAGCGUUUGUUUCACGUCACACUUGAGUUGAUAUUAACCAGCUCUUGAGUACCGAGCUACACUGAUGUGUCUUUUCUUUUUGCACCUCGCUGCUCUUAACUAUGAAUAUUGUAUGCUACUUUUAUUUUAUUUUAUAAACAAGCAUUGAGCUUUCACUGACAUUGUGGUAUUAUAUGUUUAUCAAUCCUAAUUCCUAGCUUUACAUGUAGAAAAUGUUUUCCUUGUAAUGUCUUGUCUCGUUAUAAUGGUUGGGUCAAUGAAAAUACACUUAAAUUCCAACAACCUUGACUUUCAUUAGUUUAUUUUUAUUUUUGAAUUAUGUGCUUUUACUUUCAACAAGAGGCACUUUUUGUAAUGAGUGAUUUUGUAUUGUUCUCACUUAACGUGAACAGCCACACACGAUAGUCAGUUGGUCCUACUGUAUAUAGCUAAUAAUAACUGACUAUAUAUAUUCAUUCAGACAGUCGACAUCAGGGCAGGUCAACAGGAUGCCAUUGUCUGAAGCUCACUGAGCACGUAUAGUACACAGCCAAAUCGGCUUACGUGGUGCAUUUUGUUUGGUCAGUAAAUAGAAAUUUCCAUAUAUAUGUACUAGGGCCUUGUUUUAGUUUCCUGGGUGAAAAUUUUUCAACCAUGGACUAACUAGGCUCAAAAGAUUCGUCUUACAAAUUAUAGGCAAACUGUGCAAUUAGUUAUUUUUUAUCUAUAUUUAAUGCUUCAUGCAUGUGCCGUAAGAUUCAAUGUGAUGAGAAAUCUUGAAAAGUUUUAGAUUUGAGGUGUAAGUAAACAAGGCCUAGUAAUUUAGAAGGUCUAUUCGCACAGGCACCCCAAAAUGUAAAUUCUUUGUAUGGCUGGCAAUACAAAACAGGUUAUGCACUUCAAACUGCUUAUCAGGGAAACGAUAGACUGUAACUUCUUGAUGAAUGCCACUACAGAUGCCUGUGUAUGGGCUGAGAUGGCUCAUUGGUGCGGCCACCCGGCAAGCUUGGGUGCCUUGACACAACAGCUUUGUGGUGGUCAAACUCGGGAGAAAUGGAGCGAGCACCAAACCAGUGAUUUCAGGAUUGCCUAAAUUUUGUAUACAUUAGCCCGUGAUGAAUGGAUGCUCAAACCUUGCCUGCAUUCUUCUUAAUUAGUAUAAGAGGUCGAUCUCCAAACUUGCACAUUUAAGAAAGAAAAAAAGGCAUCAAUGGAUGUAUCGUUCAGAACUUCAAGGCCACCACAUGAGGUGACCGUGUGCUAGAAUGCAGCAGAGGGCGUCGAACGAUUGUGCGGUGUGUUUGCAAGCAUGAAUGGUUCUCUGUCUGAGAUGCAUACACAAGGUCGUUGAGGAGUGCAGUGUUGCUGGCUUGCUGCCAUAUAUCGACUUGAGUUGCAUUGAAUUCUCGGUAGGGGCAAGAUCAAGAGGUGCAUGUGGAUUUCAUUCAAAUGAGACCUCUUGUUGAGUGAAGGCUCAGCUGCCCUGAAUGAAUGAAACAAACUGGACCGAGCAUCAGUGAAAGACAAAACCGAAUAAUACUCCUACCAGUUUCAGAUGCUUUUGUCUUUAUGGCAGGUAGGUGCUCCAUCAACAAUUGCCAUUAACUCAGUACCAAAUACCCAUAUGUGUCUUGGUCCUAUCCUCCUGAAUUAUAUAAGAGACCGAACUCGAUUAUAUUAGAGCCAUAAGAUCCCUUGCCAAUUAGCUAGCGUGCUAGAUACUAUGUACAGCAGCUAGGUCGACUGAUGUUGCCAAAUGUCAUAUGGAGACAGAAAAGCAUGUAGACAACAAUAUGGGGUUGGGAAACAUCAGAGAAUGGGUUGUAAGCUCAGACUUCGGCUGUCAUGAGCCAUGUAUAAACCCAAGCAGUUCCAAAAAACGCCAUUGCAGAAGGCAACAAAUCUGAACAAUAAAAUCCAUUUCUGGCCCUGACCCAACCAGGAAUUGUGUAGACAGAUCGUGUAGAAAAAUUGCUGUUCUUUUUUGGCCCUGACCCAACCAGGAAUUUGGUCAAGUCUAGUGUUAUGUUGCUUUGUCAAUAACCAUCUGGUUGAAUUGUAUUGAAUCCUGAUGGGAUAGAUCAAGAGGUGUAGUAUCAAUUCUUGGUCCGCAUCCACCAGUCGGAUGCAUUGGAUCAGGUCACGUAAUGGUCCAUUUCUGUACUUAGUCGGCGGACAAAAAAAAUUGUUGGUUUUUCAGCCCAACUUAACUUGAUCAGGUCUAGUACAGUACUGCUCUUUCACUUACCAUUAUUCGAUCGAAUUGCACUGAAUCAGCAGGGUAGACCAGAAGCCUCCUCUGAAGGAGCCUGAACUACCCUGAAUAUAUGAAACUGAAGCACCAGUGAAAAAUGAAACUGAAUGAAUACUAUAUAUAUAUAUAUAUAUCCACGAGUAGAAUGGAAAUGAACUCUUCAUCUUCAGUUCAGCAGUCCACACGUAUGUCAAAGAUCAAUCCGUAUAGCUAUAAGGCCCUUGUUUGACACAGAGGGUGCUAGAUAGUACUUUCCCAAAAACAUAUGUCAAAAAACGAUCAAUCCAUACAUGUAGUCCUUUGACACUGAGGGUGCUGGCUGGAAGCUGGAUAGCUAAAGGUCAGUCAGUAUUGCCACAAAGGAGUUGUAGUAGGCUAAAUAGUGUAGUCAAGGCUACGGACAUGCAGACAUAAUACUAGGGCUGGGAAACAUCAGGGCAGAAUGUGAUCUAAACUCCUGGUGCAUCUCAUGAUGUUCUCGGAGAGAAUGGGGUAUGUUGCAGCACCUUGGUCUAUAAGCUAUAUGCUUUCUCUAGUUGGCAGCACCUGUGCGAAGCAACCUCUGACAUGAGAGAUCUGAUUCACGGUGAUGAAACAGGACGAACUGGUGUCCUCUGAAGAACGGCAGUCAUACGGGGGUGACAUCUAUCAGAAGCAACUGCAGCCUCAACUCAAAACCAACCAGAGCUGCUCUCACGCCUGGGGAUGGGCUUCGACAAAACUCAGAAUUUGUUUCUGCGAUGUAAUUAAUGCACCAGAUCCUGGAAAUAAACCCUAGUUCUUUGUUUUGAUUUUGCCUACCUAGCUAGCUUUGCCUCCCAGCAUUUGUCCAUUUAAUUUGAUUAGUUCUAAUCAUCACAGCCAAUAAUAAGAUUGGACUGCCCACCGGCGGUGGCGUCAUGGUCUUCAACCAUCCGCAACGUGUGUCCUCUGCGAGCAAGAGGAUGAGUCGCAAGAGCAUUUGUUCGCCAGUUGCGCCAUCACCAGAGAGCUGUGGUUCCAUAUCCUCAGCUGGGCGGGAGCCCAGCAGCUCGACCCCGGCGGCUCCACCAGCAUCGUCGUGUGGUGGAUGGACACAAGGCUGAGGGUACCUUCUAGCCGACGCGGUGGCUUCGACUCCCUGGUCCUUCUCAUCUCCUGGGAAGUCUGGAAAGAGCGGAACCGGCGAACCUUCGACGGCAACUGUCUAAGUCUCAGUCAGCUAUUGCAGCGCAUCAAAGAUGAAGGGGAGGAGUGGAUCGGGGCUGGCUUCAGCAAGCUUGCGACCCUGUUUGUUGAGACUUAGUACGGCAAGUAGCCCCGAGGGUUUGCUUUAUCCAGUCGCAAAACCGUGUAACACCUAGUACAUCACUCGAAGAUCCACCGUUCUAUCCGGUGUCUUCUGUCUGUGUUCCCAGGUUAGGGGAGGCUUGAGGCAUCUCGCCGCUGGCACCCCGAGCUUUGUAUUGAACUCCUUUUUCCCUUAAAGCAAUACACGCUCUAGCGUGAUUUUCGAAAAAAAAUAAUAAGAUUGGAUCAGCAGAACGUGUCAAUCUUCAUGGAAAUCUUCCUCAUUGCUGCUUGGGAAAUUUGGAAGGUCAGCAACCAUUUAGUUUUUGACGGUUUACUCUGGCCACCUUUGGUAGGUGGCUUCACAACUUCAAAGAAGAAGCUUCACUUCAAUCAAUCAAGCCGCAUUGGGGAAUCUCAUAGGCUGCUAGUUCACCUCUCGCUGGACACUAUAAUAUCUAGUGCUACGCUUACAAUAGCUCCUUCGGUAUAGUUUUCUCUUUGCCUCUUGCCUUUUGAUGUAAGUAUUCCUUUCCCUGUACUCUAGGUGUUUUCGCCCUUGUUUUGGUUUUAUAAAAGCUCUCUUUACCACCGUGGGAAACUCCUCCAUGAUUUUUGCGUCAAAAAAUAAUAAUAAGAUUAGAUCUAUCAUGCUUUAUUAAAAAAGUAUAUAGUAACAUCAAAUUUUUAUUUAAAUUAUCCAUCUUUAUCAAUAUGAAAACUAUUUUAAUGCAACAUCCAAAUAUGAAUCAAAAUUACCCAGCUUUGUCGUUAUGAAAACUAAUUUAGAAUAACCCCAAAAUUUGUAUCCAAGUCACCUAUAUCUACCUAUACAAAAAAUAAGGCAAAUAUAUUCACUAUUGCAUCUAAAUUACCCACGUCAACAAUUAUAAAUUAUAAUAUAAAAUAACACACAUAAUUAUUUUUUUCCAAAUUACCAACCUCUAUUAUAAUAAAAAAUAACUAAAAUAUAUAUCAAAUCUGCACAAAGAUACAAAUAUAAGCAAUUAUCUUAAACAACUGAUUAACCAUAAAGUAUGUUAUAAAUUCUUCUAAAUUACUCACUUCUAUCUCUGUUAAUAUAAAUAGUACUAGACCGAAUGCGAAGUUGGCACCAACAUCUAGACCAUGUAAGCAUGCAAACAUUAUGACACAUAUGAUGAAACUGGCAA